GUGAGAUGUUGGGUUAAGUCCCGCAACGAGCGCAACCCUUGAUCUUAGUUGCCAGCAUUCAGUUGGGCACUCUAAGGUGACUGCCGGUGACAAACCGGAGGAAGGUGGGGAUGACGUCAAAUCAUCAUGCCCCUUAUGACCUGGGCUACACACGUGCUACAAUGGACAGAACAAAGGGCAGCGAAACCGCGAGGUUAAGCCAAUCCCACAAAUCUGUUCUCAGUUCGGAUCGCAGUCUGCAACUCGACUGCGUGAAGCUGGAAUCGCUAGUAAUCGCGGAUCAGCAUGCCGCGGUGAAUACGUUCCCGGGCCUUGUACACACCGCCCGUCACACCACGAGAGUUUGUAACACCCGAAGUCGGUGAGGUAACCUUUUAGGAGCCAGCCGCCGAAGGUGGGACAGAUG
rnacentral:rRNA from 1 species